GUAGGUGGCAAGCGUUGUCCGGAAUUAUUGGGCGUAAAGCGCGCGCAGGCGGUUCUUUAAGUCUGAUGUGAAAGCCCACGGCUCAACCGUGGAGGGUCAUUGGAAACUGGAGAACUUGAGUACAGAAGAGGAAAGCGGAAUUCCACGUGUAGCGGUGAAAUGCGUAGAGAUGUGGAGGAACACCAGUGGCGAAGGCGGCUUUCUGGUCUGUAACUGACGCUGAGGCGCGAAAGCGUGGGGAGCAAACAGGAUUAGAUACCCUGGUAGUCCACGCCGUAAACGAUGAGUGCUAAGUGUUAGGGGGUUUCCGCCCCCCUUAGUGCUGCAGCUAACGCAUUAAGCACUCUGCCCUGGGAGUACGGCCGCAAGGCUG
rnacentral:rRNA from 1 species